CAUAAAUAAAUAUACAUUGAUUGUUAUUAGCAAAAAUUAAUAAUAAUGAACAUCAAUCAUAAACCCAAUAAUUUCCUCAUUAGAGCUAAUUUCCAAAGAGAGGAUUAGUACUCAUUGUGUUGUUAGUUAGCCUCGUAAUGACAUCCUCUAAUUGUUCACUAAUUUGUUGCAUCUCAACAAAGUUUUCUUUCUCUUUCAUCCCAAAGGUAUCUUGCAAGUUGCUUGUGUAGAGGGGUUAAUCUUAGAAUUGAGAGCAUAUGUGAGUUUGGGAGCAAUUUUCCACCAUUAAUUACUAGAAACUCGUGGUUGCUAGAGUUAGCUAGUAAUAUAUGCGCAUUUUUCUUGUAGAGUAUAUCUUCGAGCAUUCUUCGAUUACUUCUAAAACUCGUCACUAAUAAAGAAAAUGGUGAUACAAUGGAGUCUAAAAUGCGGAUAUGGUAAACAACGAAGUGUCACCACACACACACAGACAUAUAUAACCGUUGGUAUAUUGAACUAUUGCCCACAAAAUUACAAUUUUUUUAGGUUAUUUCCACGGAUGUAUUUACCUUUGCUUACGGUUUUUCGGUGCAUGUGACUAUAAAAACCAAGUUUGUUAUAGCAACACUUGAGUAAUUGUUGGAUUGUGUCACUUUAUGAAUGUGAAUUGUGAUUCGGAUUGUAAGUUUAACAAGAGGUAUAUAUGCAUAGUAAGAGGUUCAUGAAGAGAGAUUUGCACUUCAUCAAUUUAUUUCAAUGGAAACAUCCUUUAAGCUAGAAAAUUAAAGAUGUAUGAUUCUCACCUCGAUCUCAAAGGAAAAGGUGACAAAUAUCUUAAUCUAGAAUCUUCAUUUACUCUUAAAUUUUGGAAAAG
rnacentral:lncRNA from 1 species